UGCUGAAACAGUGUUAAUUGGGGGGGGUCUGGAUUAUAUCCUCCUCGUCAGGACCUUGGAAGAUAACACCUACUGUCACUGCUGGGGCAGUGCUAAUUGCUGGAACAACACCUGUUUGUCAGGGCCCUGAGAAAGAAGGGCAGAACCCGAGGAAUCAACACAUUUGUCAGCAGAAACCGCAACAGUAAAGAUAAGGGAGAAAAGCAGCCUGCCUGGGAACAACGAUGAGACCCAAUAGGGAGCAGGAGACCCAAGACCCAAAAAUUACUAUUGGUCUGAACUACCGCGUGAGGGGUGGGAAACUUAAUUUGAAAAAGCUAUAAUUGCCCAGGGAUUUCUUUGUUCAGGAUCCCUCUUUGGAGGCACCCAACUCGAGCUGUAACUACUGCACGCGUGUCAUUCCAAACUUUUCAGCGGGAACCUAGGGUCGGACCCUGCUCGAGUUGUAAUUACUGCACGCGCAUCGCUAAAAUUUACACCCAGGGUGAAGAGGACCAACGGGACGCCGCUGGAUCCACAGACAUCUUUCAGGUGAACCAGAGGAUAAACAACAGUAAAUUGAGAAGCAAUUUGUCUGAGUUUCCCUGUGAAAGGAUAUAUGUUUCUAAAACAAGACAAACAGAAACCCCACUGCAGGAAAGACAAAGACAGGAGAAGACACUGAAGCUAUUGGAAUGUAUUGAUGUGGAAAGAGUAAGAAGCAUUUCCAGGGAGAGAUAUAUGCCCAAAAAAGAUUUGGAGAAGACUUUUUGAAAAGAAGAAACCUUUUUCUCUCUUCUUUACCAAUUCCCCAACCUUUUAUCAGAUGAGGAAGCUUUAGGUAAAAUGUAAUGGGUAAAAUAAAAAUCCAAGAAAAAUCCUUGGAAUUUUAUUAGUGCCUUUGCCCCUCCCUACUGUUGAAGGAGUGGAUAUUGUUGAUACUGAUGAUUCAAGCUGGUACUGGUUCAAGCCAAAAUAUCUGGAGAGGUUUAGGUUCUCAUUUAAUUCUGAAAUUAGACACCAAACUUUUUAUAUCUCUAUAGAGAAAUAGAGCUUUGAAUGACAGAAGGCAGGUUAAUUGUUAAUGCACGGUGAAUUCAUGUUGACAUAUGGCUUCAGAGGGACAUCUGUAGCCUGAGGUACUGGAACAACAAAGCUAGAAGUUUAUUUGUUAUAUAGCUUUGUAUAUUUAAAUUUUUUUUAAUCUGAUUAGACUGAUUCUAAACAGCUUUGUAUUUUAAGAAAACAGAUAAAUAAAGUUUAUCAAAAUAGUGUUAAUUAUCAGUUAAUUUCUUUGCUGUUAUUGGUUUUCU